rnacentral:tRNA from 1 species
UCGCCGGUGGUGCAAGGCGUAGCAUCGCUGCUUGGGAAAGCAGAAGGUACGGGUUCGACUCCCGCCUGGCGCA